rnacentral:rRNA from 1 species
UACGUAGGGAGCAAGCGUUGUCCGGAAUCAUUGGGCGUAAAGCGCGCGUAGGCGGCUCGAUCAGUCUGUUGUGAAAGUCAAAGGCUCAACCUUUGAAUGCCGAUGGAUACUGUCGAGCUAGAGUCCGGAAGAGGCGGGUGGAAUUCCUGGUGUAGCGGUGGAAUGCGCAGAUAUCAGGAAGAACACCCGUGGCGAAGGCGGCUCUCUGGUACGUGACUGACGCUGAGACGCGAAAGCGUGGGGAGCGAACAGG